AACAAACGCUGGCGGCGUGCCUAACACAUGCAAGUCGUACGAGAAAGGGUCCUUCGGGGCCUGAGUAAAGUGGCGCACGGGUGAGUAACGCGUGGAUAAUCUGCCCUCCAGUUGGGAAUAACUCAUCGAAAGGUGGGCUAAUACCGAAUAAUGCUGUGAGACCUCGGUUGAUCAGCCAAAGAGAGCCUCUGCUUGCAAGCCCUCGCUGAAGGAUGAGUCCGCGUACCAUUAGCUAGUUGGUAGGGUAAUGGCCUACCAAGGCGACGAUGGGUAGGUGGUCUGAGAAGAGGAGCAGCCACACUGGAAGUGAGACACGGUCCAGAGUCCUGCGGGGGGCAGCAGGGAGGAAUCUUGCGCAAUGGGGGCAACCCUGACGCAGCAAAGCCGCGUGAGUGAGGAAGGUCUUCGGAUCGUAAAGCUCUGUCGGAUGGAAAGAACCGCAUAGGGGUAAACAGCCCCUGUGUCUGACGGUACCGUCAAAGGAAGCACCGGCUAACUCCGUGCCAGCCGCCGCAGUAACAC
rnacentral:rRNA from 1 species